rnacentral:rRNA from 1 species
AGUUAACGUUGGCGGCGUGCCUAACACAUGCAAGUCGAACGCGUCCUAAGGGCAACUUUAGGAUGAGUGGCGAACGGGUGAGUAUCACGUGGGUAAUCUUCCUUUAAGUGGGGGAAUAAGCUCUCGAAAGGGAGUCUAAUACCGCAUGACAUUCCGGGACACAAGUCCCGUAAUCAAAGCCGCAAGGCGCUUGAAGAUGAGCCUGCGUCCUAUUAGCUAGUUGGUGGGGUAACGGCCUACCAAGGCUCAGAUGGGUAGCCGGCCUGAGAGGGUGAACGGCCACACUGGGACUGAGACACGGCCCAGACUCCUACGGGAGGCAGCAGUGAGGAAUUUUGCGCAAUGGGGGAAACCCUGACGCAGCGACGCCGCGUGGAGGAUGAAGGCCUUCGGGUCGUAAACUCCUGUCAGAGGUGAAGAAUGCCGCAAGGGUUUGACGGUAACCUCAGAGGAAGCCCCGGCUAACUACGUG